UGCCACACAAAUAUUUUGCGUCA
rnacentral:siRNA from 1 species